AUACUUACCUGGCAGGGGAGAUACCAUGAUCAGCAAGGUGGUUUUCCCAGCGUGAGGCUCAUCCAUUGCACUGUGGGUGUGCUGACCUCUGUGAUUUCCCCAAAUGUGGGAAACUCAACUGCAGAAUUUGUGGUAGUGGGGGACUGCGUUCGCGCUUUCCCCUG
ensembl:snRNA U1 U1 spliceosomal RNA